AAUUCCUGCCUUUGCUUGCAUGGGACCUCCAGCCGCUUGAUGGGGCUGGGUGGGUGUUCAAUCCUCCAUUUGCACACAACGGUCCCCCUCCCCCAAAACCCAGCCUCCACCCCAUAGAUUUCAAGUCAACAUGAUUAUCCUUCACGGUACAGACCCAGGAGUGCCCGGGAGCAGGAUUCAGCCCCAAAGCAAGGGGGUUUACCCACACAGCAGUGAGGCCUACUGUUCUACAGAAGGUAGACGGAACCUCUGAGGUAUGGCGAAGGUCUCCUGCCUUCAAGAGGGGAGGGCAUAGCAGCGGGAGUCUGGAGGCAGCCGCUAAGGGAUGAGAAUGUGGAGCCUGUUCCACCAUGGAGCUUAACUACCACAUAUUGCCCCACCCACCCCUUAGUCUUUCCCUCCAUUGUCCAGUCAGGGUUUGUCAGGCCCUUAACCCUGCCUGCCGACCUGGCAGACACCGAGAAGGUAGCCCAAAGGGCCUGUGGGCCACAGCAUUUUUAUUGCAACACCUACAAUUGGUUCUAGAAACUGAGGCUUGGCUGCUGGGCUUGUGUCCAUCAGCUUGGAGCCCGUCCUCUCUAAUUGGCACUUUCUGGACCGGUGUGAUUGCUCGCUGGCUCCUGGAGUGCGGAGGAGGGGGUCCUGGCAAAGUCCACCCCUGCCUGCCCAGCUCUGCUGAGCCGCUUCUCUUUCCCAGCAUCCUCAGAUGCUCGCUUUGGAACUUCCGGGCUGGGCUCUGUUUGAACGGCUGUUCUGAGGAUCGCCUGCCUGACGCUUUCGGUGGUCCAACCAGGGGAUCUGUCCUGCCCCUCCCUUGCCAAGGGGCUUGCUUUCGGCUUCUCCGGUUUGGGAGUGGACGGCUCCACCUUUGCUGAUUCCAACAGAGCCUGGAUGGUGCUGAAGGGCACUUCCCCCCAACCCAUGGCCCUGGAGAGUUUCGCAAAUGGAGUCUUGCGUAGCAUCUCCUGCCGGAAAUCGUGGUUGCUUCCGCUGGGGUAGUUCCUCCCUCUGAGGCUGGGGACGGAGCCCUUCCCGCCCUUCAUGGCCCGAGGGUUGGUGCCGAUGUCGGCCGUGAUGUUCGUGUAAAGGGGAAGCAGCUCCUUGGAGAGGAGUGUGUACGAGAGGGAGUUCAUGCCAUCCUGAGUCCAGACCCGGUGCGUCCGGAUCAGCAGGUCAAACCUACAAGAUGGAACAGCGAGAGAAAGAGUGCAAAGUUACACCAAUGCCGUAUAACAGGUGUGGGGAACCUUUGACUCUCCACGUGUUGCUGAACUAAAACUCCCGUCAUCCCUGGACCUUGGCCAUGCUUGCUGGGCUGAUGGGAAUUGUAGUUCAGCAAUAUCUCAAGUGCCAAAGAGUUUUCCACAUCAGCUUUAAUGACUGAACAAAGCCCAAGCGUUUAUUCUGUGCCUCCCUUUACUUUACGCCAGACUAAAAGAGGAAAUAUGCAGACUGAGAUAACAUGUAAGAAGGGUUGUAACCCAGCGGCAGAGCGAGUCUGUGCCCCGCACCAGAAGGAGAACACACCCUUCCAAGUGGGUGAGGAUCAGCAAUCAGGGUCACAACCACCACCAGGCUGGAAUUUGUACACGAGGGUUAGUUGCUGCCUCUGGAAUGCAGACAGCCCCCCCUCACUUCCCAGCAUAAAAAGGGCUGGAAGAACACCGGAUCUCUCUCCCCCUUCAACUUAAAAUCUGAAAGAUGUCAGAUUGGGUGGCACCCUCCGCAAGCAAGGAUCCUCCAAAAACUCUUAUUAAUUGAGAAAGCAGCAGUCGGCAGGGUAACAGCCAAGAACACCAGCGCUGAUCCAAGCCAGCUUUCUGGAGUGUAUUCCAUGCUGCGGGGGAAGAACCCUCCCCAAGCAGUCCAAAUUCUGCACCAAGAAAAAAAAGGGGGGGGAUUCUGCAACUGGUUUAAUUUACACGCAUUGAACUGAUUUACAUCUCAGCCUGCAUAAUUUAUUCUGGCUUACUCCUCCGGAUGCUGAAGCCCAACCCCCUACCCCAGCACUAGCCAAAGUGCUGCCCUUCCGGGUGAUGUCAACUACAUCACCCAUCGCCCCUGACCAUUAGGCCAUUUGGGGAAGGGCUGGAGCUCAGUGGGGAGAGCAUCUGCUUUGCAUGGAGAAGGCCCCAGGUUCAAUCCCCAAUGGCAUCUCCAGGUAGGGCUGGGACAGAAUUCUGAAACCCUUUAGAGCUGCUGCCAGUCAGUGUGGACAAUACUGAGUUUGUUGGGGAAAUGGUCCUUUAAUCCCACUACGAUGGAAAAAAAGCAGUGCACCUGUGCGGAUUUUCCUCAUUGCCUUUGUCGCCCUUGUGCUUCACCAUCUUGUAGUGGCCGACGGAGAUGGGAGGCCGCGAGAUCUUCAUGCCGGCCAGGCGCACCCUGGAGACACAGAAGCAAAAACGCUGAGUCAGGAUUGGCUGGGCCGGCCCUACUAUGAGGCAGAGCCAGGCCAGCAUCUCGGGCAACAGGCUGAGAGGUAACAGCAGCAGCACCCCCACAGCUGCUCCCCUCUGGCAGGGGUCAGAGCUAUGUCUGCCACAGGCCUGUCGUACAGUGCACGCACCCAUUCCCUCGGCCAUCCUCUUACACUGCUGCUGAAAGAAACGCACUGACUGACAAUCAGCUAUCAGCUUUGGCUUCUAUCCAAAGUCUCUCAUUCCAUUCGUGCAAGGAUUUACACUUGUGCAACAGGGCUCCUCCCCCUGCCCCCACAAAAACCCUCUAAAUAUCUUCUGGAUUUUUCUCCAGACCUCUGGAGAUUUGGGGAAGGCAUGGGGCCUGCACAUGCAGAGGGGAAUCAACUGCCAGCUGGCUAGGGGGCGAGAGGGGGACGCCAUUUUGUCUUUUGCCUCAGGCAGCAAAUCAGGCACCCGAGGAUUUAGUCGGAUGUCGCAGGCCCCUUCAGAGGCCCCUUGUGUGGGGAGCUACCUAACAACCAUGGCCACCUUCUCCUGGAAUAAGAAGAGAUCUCAACCCUGCUGUGAGGUCAGAGACUCCUAGCCUAUCAGGUGAUGGGCACCGUGUAACACGGAAUAAAGGUUCUCUUUUUAAAGCCGGCUCUUCCGUGUGGGGGAGGUUUCCAGAAAAGUGAAGGAACAUAGAGAUGCCCUCAGAGCAAAACCCGCCGUCUCCUCCUCUCCCUUUCUACUCAAAUCUCUCCGAUUUCUUUUAUCUUUGCCCAAAGUUAAGAAUUCCUGUUUUCCUCACAGUGGGAGGUGGAACAGUUGCCAUGGUGACACACAGCUCUAGCCAAAUCAGUUCAAGAGAGGCAGAACUUGGGAGCCAAACGCUUCCCUGGACGAGCCGGUCGGAGCCAAACACCUAUUUUAUUCAUCCCUCGUGACCUCUCCAACCUUCCUUCUGUUGUCAUCCCUCACUGGCAAAUCUUUUGUUGUUGUCCGGGGUACCCAUUUUGUGCUGGUACUCAUGGCACUUCUAUCAAUAUAGGUGAAGCAACCAGACAGCCAUCUUGUCGAACACUUUCUAAUCUGCCUACGUAGUGUGGAGUAAAAUUCUUCCCAGUUCUCAGCACCUGGCUCACAACUGCACUAAAAAAACAACAGGUGGCUGGGUUUUCCUGUCCGCCUUCACUGGCUGUUGCUGAGCUGAACCAUCGGCAUUUCAUGACAGAGCCUUCCCUCUCAGAAUUGGAGUGUUUGAGAACAUGCCAUGGCAUUACAGCGUUGCAGUUUUCUGGCCUUACCUGAAUGCUGCAGCCUAAAUGCCACAGCCUGGGAGGGAGAAAUGAGCAUGCAAGGAUCCGAGAGUGUGAGCAACGCAAAGUGGAGGAAGAGAUAAAAAGAGAUGAUAAUGAAGGCAAUGAGAGGGAAAACAUCACCCCAGUUGAAAAGCAGGAAGUGGGGAAUGGAAAAUAGGCAUUACACAGCAGAGGAUGGGUGUGAAAUCAGUGCUCCAAGGACCUCCAGCUUUGCUGAAGCUGAACCCCGACAAGACCGAGGUGCUGCUCGUGGGGGACAAAGGAAGGUUGGGAGAUGUUGACUUGAAGUUCAAUGUGGUAACUCUACCCCUGAAGGACCAGGUCUGCAGCCUUGGGGUUGUACUUGAUUCCAGGCUGUCCAUGGAGGCUCAGAUUUCAGCAGUGAGCCGGGCAGCCUGGUAUCAACUACACCUCAUACGAAGGCUGCAACCCUACCUUCCUGCUCAUCAGCUCCCACUGGUAGUACAUGCCCUGGUCACCUCUCGCUUGGAUUACUGUAAUGCGCUCUAUGUGGGGUUACCCUUGAAAACGGUCCGGAAAUUACAACUUAUACAAAAUGCGGCGGCUCGACUACUUACGAAUAGCCGCCGCCGGGAUCACAUCACACCAGUGUUGUUCGAUCUACACUGGCUUCCAGUUGUCUUCCGGGCCCAAUUCAAGGUGUUGGUAUUAACCUUUAAAUCCCUAUACGGUCUCGGCCCAGUUUAUCUUACGGAGCGCCUUCCACGCCACCAAUUAUGCCGCCCGACAAGAUCAGCCACACAAGGCCUUCUCUCAAUCCCGCUGACAAAAACAGCCAGAUUGGCGGGUACAAGAGAGAGGGCCUUCUCAGUGGCGGCCCCCACCCUCUGGAACUCCCUCCCACAAGAUCUCCGGCACGCCUCUUCCCUAAAUGCAUUCCGUAAAGCCUUAAAGACCUGGCUCUUUCAACAGGCCUUUGGGAUCUCCGGGGAGGGUUAAUUGUUAUGACUGAAAUGCCUCCUGCCCUGUUUUAAUAUUGUUGUGGCAGCUGUAUUGCUUUUAUACUGUUGUUAUA